AGUCUUCAUCUGACAUCCUGCAAACACGAUGGCAGUCCACCGAGCAGCAGACCACAUUUUCUGAUAUGGACUUCUGCUGACAGAAAAUUAGGCUUCAUUUCGUGUGGACAUCAUCAUGCAGUUUACCUGUGAGCCUAAAUAGAAGUAUCUUUCCUUUGAUGCAUUAAUCCUUCCCGACUGCUCCAACAAGAUUGGACGAUUAUCCUGCAGCAUCACACAUGCAUUAUGCCUCCUCCCUGCCGAAAGAAUCACCAUGUUGGGCCAACAUCAGCAGCCAGGGAUCUCCUCUCACACCCUGCUGCCACCUCCCUC